GCUGGGUGUGGUGAUGCAUGCCUGUAGUCCCAGCUACUUAGGAGGCUGAGGCAGGAGGAUUGCUUGAAUCCAGGAGGUUGAGGCUGCAGUGAGCCGUGAUCAUGCCACUGCACUUCAGCCUGGAUGACAGAGUGAGACCCUGUCUCAA
ensembl:misc_RNA Metazoa_SRP Metazoan signal recognition particle RNA